CCUACGGGAGGCAGCAGUGAGGAAUAUUGGUCAAUGGACGCAAGUCUGAACCAGCCAUGCCGCGUGCAGGAAGACGGCUCUAUGAGUGGUAAACUGCUUUUGUACGAGGGUAAAUCCCGAUACGUGUAUCGGGUUGAAAGUAUCGUACGAAUAAGGAUCGGCUAACUCCGUGCCAGCAGCCGCGGUAAUACGGAGGAUUCAAGCGUUAUCCGGUUGUAUUGGGUUUAAAGGGUGCGUAGGCGGUUCGUUAAGUUAGAGGUGAAAUCCCGGGGCUCAACUCCGGCACUGCCUCUGAUACUGUAGAGCUAGAGUUUAGUUGAGGUAGGCGGAAUGUAUGGUGUAGCGGUGAAAUGCAUAGAGAUCAUACAGAACACCGAUUGCGAAGGCAGCUUACCAGACUACGACUGACGUUGAGGCACGAAAGCGUGGGGAGCAAACAGGAUUAGAUACCCGAGUAGUC
rnacentral:rRNA from 1 species